rnacentral:rRNA from 1 species
UGGGGAAUAUUGCGCAAUGGGCGAAAGCUUGACGCAGCAACGCCGCGUGGGUGAUGAAGGCCUUCGGGUCGUAAAGCCCUGUCGGGAGGAACGAACAGCCGGAGGGAACAAUACCCCGCCGGUUUGACGGUACCUCCAAAGGAAGCACCGGCUAACUCCGUGCCAGCAGCCGCGGUAAUACGGAGGGUGCAAGCGUUGUUCGGAAUUACUGGGCGUAAAGCGCGUGUAGGCGGAUUCGGAAGUCGGGUGUGAAAGCCCUGGGCUCAACCCAGGAAGUGCGCCCGAAACCACGAGUCUUGAGGUCCGGAGGGGAUCGGGGAAUUCCCAGUGUAGAGGUGAAAUUCGUAGAUAUUGGGAGGAACACCGGUGGCGAAGGCGCCGAUCUGGACGGAUUCUGACGCUGAGACGCGAAAGCGUGGGUAGCAAACAGG